AUUUCCACCACUAUUUUGGAUGCUAAAUUUUAGAUCAUAAUAAUUGGCUAUAGGAACUAAUUCUCAAGUCCUCUCUGGUUUCUUUAAAACUUUAAAUCUAUGUCCUCUGAUUAUGUAAUUGUCAUGUAAGGAAAGUAAGUCUCCUUUUAUUUCCAUCUUAAAUAUUCUCACUGCCUCAAUAAAAUAGCCAACAUAAUCAAAGAGCCCUCCCAGCCCAGUUAUUCUGCGUUGCCAACCAUUCCGACAUGCGAAGGUCUGAAAGCAAAUGUUACCAGGUUCAAGGACAGCUUCUACCACGCUGUUAUACGACUAUUGAACGGACCUCUUGUAUGAUUAAAUGAACCCUUGACCUCACAAUCUAUCUUGCACCUUAUUGGCAGCUUGCACUGCACUGUCACACAAUUUUCUGCAAUCCCUUUUUGUUUUUCCCUAGUUUUACUUGAUGGUCUGUUGAGAUGAUUUAUGUAAGCGAAUGUGAUGUAACACAAUGUUUUUCACUAUAUCUCGGUAAAUGUGACAAUAAAAAAACUAAUUUACCAAAUUAUCAAUUUUGUAUGCCACUGUUAAAUCACCAUUUAAUCUCUGAAAAGAGCAUAUUACAUUGAAGUUUCCAAGAUCCCUUUAUAAGAAAAUGGUGUUCCACCAAUGAUUACUUUCAGAAAGGCAAGCACUGCCUUAAGAUCAGUUCAGACAUUGCUAUAAUAGCAGACUGUGUUGUUACAACAGUUUCAAAGAAAUAUGGGGGUGUUUGUUUGUGAGCAGUAGUGUCCUGUCUAGUCAGAACGCCUACGUGCUUCUGCUUAUUUAAUCAUAAAUCACAUAUUGUAUGUCCCCAGAUAAAACACAGUCAAACAUUAACUCUCAUAAAUCACUUAAUGCUUAACUAGCUGAGAAAAUGCUUCACUCACUCUGACACUGGAGAAUUCAUGACACUUUCUGAGAUCUCAGCUCUGAGCUGGGAUUUAUAAAAGUCAGCUUGUGCACGUAUUUGCUUCAGUGCGGACGGAAAGAUGGUGAUGCAAAAAUGAAGGAGAGAUUAACCAGAUUGGACUUCUAUUGUCUAAACAUAGACUGUUUGACAAGGUUGAUGUUUUGCUUGGCUGGUGUGUCUGUAACUAGGGGUCACUGUCUCAAGAUAAGCAGUUUGCUAUUUAGGAUUAAGAUUAGCUGGAACUUCAUCACCCAGAGGAGUUUGCUGCCCAAGAGGGCCUUGGAAGUUCAGUCAGUGAGAAUAUAAAAAGGAAGAGAUCAUUGUUUUUUACAUUAAGGACAGGUACCUGGAUAGGAAAUGCUUAGAGGGAUAUGGGCCAAAUGCAAGCAAAUAGGAUUAUUUUAGAUGGAAAUAUAGGUCAGCAUGGGCUAGUUGGAUACUAGGGCCUGUUUCUAAGCUGUAUGAUUCUACAAGAUAUGGGUAAGGUAACGGAGGGAUAGAAGAUUAUUGGUGAUGUUACUGAAUACCAAAGCAGAGACCUGGGGCCGAAUGGCGUACUCUCGCAGUUUCUUGUUCUGAUCUAACAUUGAAACUUGACUGUGGACAUCUUUGGAUAGCACAAUGUCUUUGAAAUGCAGCGUAAAAUCAUCCCAGAGUCCUGUAAUCAUCAUGUGAUUGUUUGGAAGUUCCUUGAUGUUAAAUUUCCCAUUUCAGUUUUAAUCUCUUCUUAUCACUUUCAUUCCUGUCUCUCUAAUCUGUCACCCGUGAGAAUUCUGCAGUCUUUAAUUCUGAACUCUUAAAUAUCCCUUUAUGUAGCUCUUUGUAUGGAAACAGUUCGCUAUCAAAGCUGGAAAUUCUGGAAUUCAUAGGCUAAGCCUCUCAACACUCUCCAUCUUUCUACCUCUCUUCCUCAUUCCUUAAAAUCCCUCUCAUAGCCAAUUUUUUGUUCAAUCUCCCUGAUAUCUCUUUUCAUGAUUUAGCAUCUUUCAUCAGAUCAUAAAGCACAAUGACAAGUCCUUCAGCUCAUCAAGUCAAUGCCAGCCACCAAUAUUUACCCAUAGUAAUUCUAUCUAUCAAAAAUCAGUCUACACCUUCCAUGUUUUAAAGAUAAGGAUGAGCUUUGUUUGUCGCAUGUACAUUGAAACAUACAGUGAAAUGCAUUGUCUGCAUCAAAUCAAGUCAGCGAGGAUUAGACUGGGCAGCCCACAAGUGUUGCCAUGCUUCCAGUGUCAACAUAGCAUGCUUACAAUUCACCUAACUGUAAGUCUUUGGACUGUGGGAGGAAACCCAUGUGGUCAAGGGGAAAAUGUACAUAUUCCUCAUAGGUAAUUGGGGAGGGGAAUCAAACACCAACCUUAAAGCUGGUACUGUAAAAUGUUGCUCUAACUCCUCCAUCAUCUCUCAUUCUGAUAAGAUAUUCAGCUGGCAACAGACUUAAACAUGCAAAUGAUAGGUGAAGCACACAAAAUGCUAGCUAGCACCUGAAGAAAAAUGAAAGAUUCAUAAAAGCACUGACAGCAUAGAAACACUGUACAGACCAGCUGCGUCUUCUCCAAAACUUACACUUGAUCCCACGGUUGGUAUUUGGUGAAAAUAUUUGAUUGCUUUACCAUUGCCAUGAACCCAAUCAGGUGAAGGCCGAUGAUAGGAUGCAGUUCCUUUAUAACAGCCACCACAGUUGAGUAAUCAGUCCUUUGUCUAUUCGUAAGCUCAAGAUUCUGAAUGCCACAAUGUUAAACUGCAUUCUGGUUAGAGAUGAGUGAGGCAAAUGUUUGCAGUAGGAAACACUCAUGGUUGCCUGCCUGGUGCUGGUAUGGUUGUUAGUUAGUUUUGGUAUGGCUGUGUUCUCCAAGUAAACAAGUGCUGUGUGCGUGACCCUGAGGCACCCUCUCUUCCCCUCCACCUGUUGCUCAGUUAACACAGGAUUGUUUUUUCUCCUUUUUCUCUCCUGCAUCACCUUUGCCAUUAAUAGAAUGAGUCAUUAGCUGGCAUAAUCUGAGACUUAUCUGCAGUCCUUGAGAUGAACGAUUCCACCUACAGCAUUGGCAGAAACUGUGCUGUUUGUUAAUGUUUGACGUCUGAGUCACUGCUGUUGCCUCUGCGUACUGCUCCUCAGUGACCUGUGGUGAGGUAAUGCUUUCAGUCGAUACUGGAUGUUGCAGAUCACCUGCACUGUUCCACCUAAUGGUAACUGAGUUUUCAGAAGGUGUUUUGCUUGAGUUGGUUAACUUGGUUAACUGGAGUGACAAACAAAUCUCUUGUUUUUGUCUUUGAAUGCGUCCACAGUCUGAACUCUCACAGCAACAGUAAUCUUCUUUCAGUCUCGAGCUCCCUGAGGUACCGAUAGUUCAGAUUUCCUGCUCAGCUCUGAACUUAAAUGCCUCAUCACAAGCCUGUCUGAAGCUGACGGCACUCCUUUCCCUCCUUUGAGGCAUUCCUUUAAACAGGUUCUGUUUAAACUUUCAGUCGCCUGCAACUAACAUCACCUCAUGUGGCUCAGUGUCAGCCUGUGUUUGGCAAUGCUCCCAUGAAGCCUUAUUCACAUCACUGGACAAUUAGAAUGGAAGGUGGCAUUCGAAUGACAUUGGAGUGUGAAGGCAAAGACUUUUCUCUAACUGCUGUGUAAAUUGUGGUCUUCAUUUGCAAGGUAGAAUAAUCCAACACCUCGUAAGAUAAUUGUAGUCCAUUUUGUAAAUCACUGCCAUCACCUCACAUUUCCUCAUGACAUUGAUGAUUAUUUUAACAGGGAUUUCAGCUCACAGUGAUAACUCAGCUAAAAAGGAUUAAUGAAUGAGGACAGGUUUUAUUGACCAACAUUGGGCAUAAGGGAAUAAAGGAGUCAUCUGAUUUCUUGUUAACAAUUAAAGAAUUCAGAAAUAAUUUCACCAGGGCCAACCUUAGUCACAGGCUUGGCCGGAAGAGGUGAAGUGCAAAUGUCUCCCCUUGCUUUUGAGGCAGGAUUUCAGCAUGUGGCAUCGAGGUGUCCUGACAGAACGAAGUCACUGGGCAUCAAAGUGAUUGCACUGCAGGAUUUCCAUAGGUGCUGCCAGACCUUCUGAGUUCCUCCAGGAUUUGUGUGUGUUGCGCUGGAGAGAGUGCAGACUUCACCAAGAAGAGUUUGUAAAAAGAAUGGAAAAGCUGGACUUUUUUACUCCACAGUGAAGGAGAGAGAGGUGUAAAAUCAUGAGACAUAGUUAAAGCAGAUGAGGCAUUGAGAACAAGAGUUCAGGGGUUUAAGGUGAGAGGACGGAAUUGUAAAGAGGAUUUGAGAGGAAUAUAUUUUUACACAGAGAGUGGUUGAUGUCUGGAAAGUGUCACCAGAGGGGGUGAUGGAAUCAGAUACAUUUAAGAGGCAUUUAAACAAAUUUAUGGAUAGGCAAGGCAUAGGUAGACGUAAAGCAGCGGAAUGGAAGUAGAAUUAGAAAUCAGUCUGGAUCUGGAGGCUGCCCAGAGGAGGGCUAUCCUUGGAUGAGAGGUGAGACAUGUUGUGUAGCUGUGAGUUGCCCCCAGCAUGCAGGACAGCAUAAUGAUCUAUUUGGAAUGAUAGGAGAAUAAAAUGGGAUUACAGAGAGACUAGUGUACAUGGCUGGCAUGGACUCAUUUGUCUGUGAUGUUUGUCUCUCUCUGGUCUUUUGGGUGAAGCAUUUGCCUUUUCAACCGGACAUAACAUAUUCCACAGUGCUAUAGUGAAGGAGAAUUCUUCGGCUUUUUCUGGUCAAUAUUUACUUCACAACCAACAUCCUCCGAAGAAUAUGCAGCUGGUUGUUAUUAUUUCACUCUUCGGACAGUAUGAAUGCAUUUUAUGGACUGCCUAUGAUACAACUAUUUGGUUUGGAUACUUACGGUGUGGUAACAGGACCUUCUGGCCCAAAGUGCCCCAGUUACACCCACGUGAGCAAUUGACCUUCUAACCCGUGGAGCCUAUUGGAAAGCUCUUUCAAAGAGCCAACAUGGGGAAAAUGGGACAAAUGGCCUCCCCGUGCAAUAUAACCACAUACAAGUUGGAUGGAGGAACAUUGCACAAAAAUAGAACUAUUCAGUGUAUAACUGGCAGGACCCAAGUCUGAGGGUGGGUGAAAGAGCCAGGUGGCAGUUGAAUUUAGCCUCCUGGGCCUCUCUUGAACACUUACUAACAGUCUACUUGUUAUUGUCCCUAACAGGGGGAGUUACAGGGCAGUCAGGCAGUUGGGCUCUGGGAGGCUGCCAUCAACAGGGACCAAAGUUGAGUUUAGAGCUUACAAGAGGCAACACUGGACAACAGUUAUUCACAUAUCUAGCCCAAAGCAAAGAAACCAAAAAUAAAUAGAUCAAACCCAGCAAGUCACUUUACAAAAACAUUAAUGUUGCAAUUACUCAAAGC